rnacentral:lncRNA from 1 species
CUAGUUUAAGUCACACAACUCCAGAUGAGAUUUGCUUCUCUUAUUCAAUUGAGAGUUUGUCAGUAGUCUCGAAAAUAAGCCCUACGUAUAAGGGGAGGUCUCUGCUCUUGUACUCAACUCUAGCAAGCAAGGAAAGGUCAGUUCCACUUAGCCAAAAUAAAAGAUCCGCCAAUUAGGAAACCAGCUCAGAUCGACCCGCUAUUAAUUAAUAUAAAUAAAACCCAUCCAUCUAGCCAUUUAAGAAGGCUUUUCUCUAGCUUGUAUAGCUUACUGUAACAACCAUUGAC